AUUUCAUUGUAAACUUCAGAGCAGUAAUAACAAAAAAUGAGUUUUUUUUUUAAAUUGCAUUUACGAUCUAACCUGCAGAAAUGUUUAACAGAGCAUGACGCGAAAAUUGCAAAUCAAUGAAACAUUUUGAAUCAAAGAGAUGCAGAUGAACAAUUUAAAAAUAAUUAACGAAGAUGGGGAUGUUCCUGCUGUAAGUCCAUUGCCUUCUAAUAAAGCAACAGCGAAACCAAUCAUCUCUCCUGAAGAUGUAAUUGAAACAGUGUGUGAACAUCAAGAUUACACUGAGCAUAUGACCCAAAGAUCGCGUAGAAAUAUAGGACAACUAGCCACCUCAACUCCGUUAGCCCGGAGAUCAAUUUUCCGCCCGAAAUCUCCGACGGAUCGACCAUUCAAAUGUCCCAAACUAAAUAGAUGCAAGUUGUAUCAGUGGCGUGCAAUAGAUUCCAUUCGAAAGACAAAAUCUUCUGAAGUACCCGCAAAGCAUCACCUUGUAGAUAACAACUGGCAGUCAAGAACAGAAACUGCCUCGACACCACAUCUCGUUGACAACGAUGAAAAAAGUGGGAGUAUAAACGAGGAAAAACUGAAGCAUGAACGACAGCAGAGAACCCGUUUAAAUCGUUCUGCCAUAUGUUUUGAUAAUAUAAGAUGGAUCUGCGCAUUCUUAAACAGUGUCAUUUUGAUUUUAAGUGUCCUGUACUUUGGAAGUGCACUGGCUUUCACUUUCUCAGAGAAUAUUUUAUUACUAGUUAUGAAAAACAAAGUGUACAUCUCUUUGGUAGCUUCAUUCUACAUAGUUUCAUUUCUUUUGUGGAUGAUAGCGAUCAGCGGUUUUUAUGUUUUAUGGAAAAUAUCUCGAAAAAUCAAAAUGCAUGCUUGUUUAACAUUGGCAUUUGGUAUACUGAUUCUAUCAACGAUAUUUUUUCAAAAUUCAACUCAGCAAAGCAUCGAGUCUGACGUUGAAACGCAGAUGCGCUCUUCAUUGAAAUCUGAUAAUGAAGAUUUUGGUAAAGACGUUCAAAUGUUGUGGCGUUACUGGCUUUUUGGACUGGUGCCAUCGAGAGAAUUCCAAAAUCAACGAGACACAAACAGAAAGCUUCUUAGGAACUUAUUUUUGUUCUAUACCAAGUUCUUGCUGUGCGCGUUAUAUCAAUGAGUACAAGAAUUCUCAUGAAAACAAGUUGGAAUCUUGCACUGAGCUAUUGGAAAUGGGAAGAAUCCGCAACACAGGUUGCGUCGACGCCGUAAAAAAAGAAAUUUAUCACUUAGGAAAAAUGUAUAAAAUAAUAACAGGUGGAGCCAGUGGAACAUUGGUACUUUUAUCGAUCAUGUCAGUAGCACUCUUUUCUCGCUUAAUAAGGUGACAGUCGUCAGCUGAAUUAACUUUUAAAUAAAACCUGCGAAUGCAAAAUGUGAAUUGUUGUAUUUCGAUUUAUUAUUAAAUGUGCCUACAUGAUACAAAUCAAA